CACCGUUCAGCAGAAGUUGAGAUGGGACCAGGAAACCCACAGGGCCCCUUUAUUCGGCAAAAAUGUCAGCGCCACGGGGAGCAGCCGGGGGUCCCUGAGUGUGUGAGUGAGGUGGGGAAACACAGAUGCACUUUGGGGGGCUCCCCCUGCUACAGGAAACCCAUGGCCGACUGGAACGGUGCAAGGGGAGAACUCGCCCCUCCCAUCAGGCGCCUCCGUCACACUGGCCCUUCCCCUCGGCUUUGCCUGGACAGCUCUUGCCUCCCGCAGGGCCCACCUGUGUCCCCCAGCGCUGCUCCACCCAGCAGGCCUGAGCCCCUUUCUGCUCCCAGACACCCACUGCUGCCCACUCUCCUGCCACUGGGGUUCUGAGGCACAGCUUGUCACACCGAGGCGGUUUCUCUUUUGCUUUCUCUUUUAGCCGACGGUCGCAGCAAUGGCGCUGAGUUCCUCUGCUGGAGUUCAUCCUGCUGGCUGGGUUCCUGGGCUGCCAGUCUGAGCCUGAGGCAUGGAGCCUCCUGGAGGCUGGGGGUCUUCUCCCUGGAGACCCGCCCCCAAAGCCGACAUCUUGACGCUGGUGCUGUAUCUCACCUUCCUGGGAUCCCCCUGCUACGCCCCAGCUCUGCCCUCCUGCAAACAGGACGAGUACCCAGUGGGCUCCGAGUGCUGUCCCAAGUGCAGUCCAGGUUUCCACGUGAAGCAGCCCUGCGGGGAGCAGACGGGCACGGUGUGUGAACCCUGCCCUCCGGGGACCUACAUUGCCCACUUCAACGGCCUGAGCAAGUGUCUGCAGUGCCAAAUGUGUGACCCAGCCCCUCCUCUUGGACCCCAGCCAUGGGCCUGCGCACAAGCCGGAACUGCUCCACGACAGAGAAUGCCCUGUGUGGCUGCAGCCCAGGCCACUUCUGCAUCAUCCAGGACGGGGACCACUGUGCCGCGUGCCGCGCUUAUGCCACCUCCAGCCCGGGCCAGAGGGUACAGAAGGGAGGCACUGAGAGUCAGGACACCCUGUGUCAGAACUGCCCCCUGGGGACCUUCUCUCCCAAUGGGACCCUGGAGGAAUGCCAGCAUGGGACCAACUGGGCUUGGAAAAGUCAGACAGACCUCUGAGGUCUCAUCCUGGAGCUGCCACCAGCACAGCCUCCCUGGGACCUGUCUUCACUGCCUGGGGCCCUGUGAGCCGGGGACGCUCCCUGGGACUGAGUGAACACCGGGUGCUGCACCUGCCGCUCCCACAUCCUCGGCCCCACUCCCGCAGGUGCAGCAAAUGGCUGGUGACGGAGGCCGGACCUGGGACCAGCAGCUCCCACUGGGUGUGGUGGUUUCUCUUAGGGAUCCUCAUCGUCACUGUCAUUGUUGGCCUAAUCGUAGUUGGCCUAAUCGUACGUGUGAAAAGAAGAAAGUCAAGGGGCGAUGUAGUCAAGGUGAUCGUCUCCGUCCAGCGGAAAAGACAGGAGGCAGAAGGUGAAGCCACAGUCACUGAGGCCCUGCAGGCCCCUCCGGACAUCACCACGGUGGCCGUGGAGGAGACAGAACCUGCAUUCACGGGGAGGAGCUGAAACCGCUGACCUACAGGCUUUGUACCCCGACGCCAGAGAUACCUGGAGCGACGGCUGCUGAAAGAGGCUGUCCACCUGGUGGAACCACAGGAGCUGGGAGGCCUGGGGGCUCCCCGCUGAGCUGGCUUCCUUCCAUCUCCUCCAGUGGAGGGAGAGGUGAAGCCCCUGUUGGGGUGGGGCUGGAGACGCCCCGUGCCAUUCCCAUGGGCCAGUGAGGGCCUGGGGCCUCUCUUGUGCUGCAGCCUGAGCUCCCCAGAGCCCCGAGGAAGAGUGCCAGUUGCCUCGCGCUCACGGACCAUACACCCAGCCCUCCUGGCCAGCCCAGAGGGCCCUCCAGACCCCAGCUGUCUGCCCGUCUGAAUACUGCGGGCUCAGCAGGACAGGCCCCGGGCACUGCCUCAUGGUCAAGGCUGGACUGGGUUGGCCACAGUGUGGCAUUGAAUGUAUAUCACAUUUAAAGUAAUUUUCUAAAUUGGAUUUGAAUUUGGCUCCUGUUUUCUAUUUGUUGUGAAACAGUAUAUUUGGCGAGAUGCUGUGGGAAGAUGUAAAUAUCUUGUUUCUCCUCAAA